CCCUUAGAUGUUCUGGGCCGCACGCGCGCUACACUGAUGCAUUCAACGAGUCUAAAACCUGCUCUGAUAGGGGUGGGUAAUCUUUUGAAUGUGCAUCGUGAUUGGGAUAGAUGAUUGCAAUUUUUCAUCUUCAACGAGGAAUGCCUAGUAAACGCAAGUCAUCAGCUUGCAUUGAUUACGUCCCUGCCCUUUGUACACACCGCCCGUCGCUCCUACUGAUUGAAUGAUCCGAUGAAUAUCAUGGAUUGAGGAUGCAAGUAGGUUCGCCUAUCUUCAUCUUCGAGAAGUGAAGUAAAUCUUAUCAUUUAGAGGAAGGAGAAGUCGUAACA
rnacentral:rRNA from 1 species